UAUUUAUGUUUUAUUUACCUAUCGAUCAUAGUUUAUUUCGGCAUAUAUAAACUUAAGAAUGUAUCCAAAGUUAGUUUAUUUAAGAGCGAGAUUUACUGCUUAAAAUCAUCGAAUGAGUGAUUGAGGAAGUGUGAAGGUUGAGUAUUCUGCACUUAUUAGUGGUUGGACUAACCUAAUUUUGUUAUGGUUUUUAAUUUUCUUUCUUUCAAAGAUUUGGGGGCGGAACGCUUCAUAUCAAGAGGAGACACAAGGGGCACCACUAUUGGAGAACACUGGUGGACCGGCUUCUUCUUUAAAGGAGGGGGAUCAAAAUGAUGUGAAUAUGAAGCGCCUGUCUCCUGACAAUGAUAUUGCUAAGUCAAACCUAAUAGAAGAAAUUGACAAUUGGGGUAGGUUAGUGGAGCCUCAAGAUGCAUCACCAAAUUUCAAGAAGCACCAAUCUCAAAACACCCGCCUUUGAGAACACCGGCGACUAAUACAUUAUUUUAGUAUAAGGACACAAAGUUUUAUGUAAGCUAUUAACAUACCUUUUUCCCUGAAGAAAUUCUGAACUUGGGGUAACCUUCUAUCAACUUUUCCACUCUCUUUUUAAGUAUACGAACAUCCUACAUUAUAAUUAGACAAUUAACAAUUUAUGCACAUAAUGUUUUUAUUGUAUUAAAUUUAAUUUAUGUUAUAACAUAUCUAACCUCAUCAUUUAUUACUUGUCGAAAGUGAACAGAGAUGCAGAACUUGUUGUCUUCAACAAUGGCUCCUUUUAUGCCUUUUGUCUUGUCUUUCAGAGCCUUUAGUAUCUAAACAAAAACACAUUACAAAUAUUUAAAAAAAAAUCUCAAGUUAAAGCUAUAAGUGCAGGAAGUGAAGUCAGUAUCUAGCUACCUCUUCAAUCUUUGGAAGAAACUCUUGAGCUGGUCGAAAGUGAACAACUUCAUUCCCCUGUAGAAAAAAGAAAGUCACAAAUAUAGAAAAGAAAAAUCAAAAGAACUUCAAAGAACACUAACUAAUUAGUAACCUUUUCAUCAGUGGUUCUAGCUUAUCACAAAUAUGUUGACAUUUAUUUUAGUGUUGCUUAUCAUAGUUUUUUUUCUCUUUUGAAUUAAUGAGUGGGGAUCAAAUUGAUUUGAAUAUGCAACACCGGCCUCUCGACAAUGAUAUUGCCAAAUCGAACCAUAUAGAAGAACUUGACAAUUCAGGCAGGUUAGCGGAGCCUCAAGGAGCACCAGUUUUCGAGAACACCGGUAGUGUGGCCUCUUUUCAGUUAGCAAUGUACAAGGAAGUCCUCAAAAUCUUCCCAUUGUGAGAAGAUCUGCAAUCUGGGAACCCCAUAUGUGAAAAUAAAUAUAAUAUAUAGUUUUUUUUUUUUGAAAUAAUAUAUAAUUUUUUAUGUAUAUUUUUUAAUUUUUUACAAAGUUUAACUUUUAUGCAGAUUGUAUAUUAAUGUAUUGCUAAAUAAAAAUGUUUCUCGUGUAAUGUA